UACGGAGGGUGCAAGCGUUGCUCGGAAUCACUGGGCGUAAAGGGCGUGUAGGCGGUCUCGUAUGUCUGACGUGAAAGCCCCGGGCUCAACCCGGGAACUGCGUCCGAUACUGGAAGGCUUGAAUCCGGGAGAGGGAUGCGGAAUUCCAGGUGUAGCGGUGAAAUGCGUAGAUAUCUGGAGGAACACCGGUGGCGAAGGCGGCAUCCUGGACCGGCAUUGACGCUGAGGCGCGAAAGCCAGGGGAGCAAACGGG
rnacentral:rRNA from 1 species